CACGUAUGGGGCGAGCGUUGUUCGGAAUUAUUGGGCGUAAAGGGUAUGCAGGCGGUUUCGUAAGUCUGGUGUGUAAGACCACAGCUUAACUGAGGGAGCGCAUUGGAAACUGCGAGGCUUGAGUACGGGAGGGGGAGCUGGAAUUCCAGGUGUAGGGGUGAAAUCUGUAGAUAUCUGGAAGAACAUCAGUGGCGAAGGCGAGCUCCUGGCCAUGUACUGACGCUGAGAUACGAAAGCGUGGGGAGCGAACAGG
rnacentral:rRNA from 1 species